GUUACAUUCGGAAAGACUCAGGAUCUGUGAGCUUCUGUGAGCUUCCCCGGGGCUGCCAGAGUCAGAACAUUUUUACCCAAAGAACCAGAUGUGAGACAUUAAAACGGGGCGGGCUUCCUGAUGCCAGGAGCUGAUUCUGCUACUGACAUCAGAAACAAAGGCAACAAGGCAACGUUCUAGUAUCUCAGUUCCGAAAGAGGCUAACGAAACGCUUUAGAAGAGUUUCUAAAGAGGUCUGAAAGUUGUUUCCCUUUUAGAUUCCCAUGCAAUUGGGAAGGUGCCGCUUGUUCACACAGGAGCAGGAGUCUUAGCGUCUGAGAGAACCAGAUUGGCGCACAGCAUAAAACACAAGGAGAACACAAACAACUGAGAAAAACCAACUCUCCCAACACAGCUACUACAAUAAGUGAACUGAACUAGAUGUCAAAGACUGUCAAAACCCUAAACUCUCAUUCACCAGGAGGCAGAGUCCAGAAAAUGUGAGAUUAGAAGAGUCAAUGAAUUACUUCCUUGCUCCAAGAAACAAUUAAUGGGACGAAUGGUGUUUGCAGACUAUUUCAUCUGGCCCUGCCAUAGACUGUUACAGUCAGGGCUGUGAUUUCAAGUUCAUGGCCUCAUAGUUCUAAACUUUUCUCAAAGGUCCCCAAAUCAAAUCCGUAUGAUGAAUUCCCUUCACACACAUGCCAUGCCUCUGCAUCCAAAUGGCAUCUGGCCUGCUGGAACAUCUCCAGGGAUGUAGAGGGAAGGGGGAUUCAUGAUAAGGAAGGGGAGCCCAAUCCAUUUUCAGAUUCUGUUCUGUUAGGCAGGGCUUUCUUACAUUAAACCGAAUCUUGCCUUCCUAGAA